rnacentral:rRNA from 1 species
UUUGAAGUCUAACCAAGCACUAGACGGAUGCCUAAAAAUCUUGGUUGAGGGCGUAAAUAUAAAUACGAGAUUUGUAUGUAAGCUUUUUUUUGAUAUAUAAAAAUGCUUUGGAUGUGCAACAACCCUUAAAAAUUUUAUGAAGCGAAACAUCGUAGUAAUAAAUCUAAAACAUAAAUCAACUGAGAUGUUAAAGUAACGGUGAGUGAAACAAAGUAGCUCAAAAAUUAAAAGAAGGGGCUGAACUACUUGGAAAAGUAGGCUACAGAGGGUGAUAGCCCCGUAAGCUU